GUUUAGAUGCCCGUGUUGAUGUUACUUCAUGGUGUGAAUGUGGCCAUUGUUCGUUGGAUCUUGUUGUCAACCCUCAAGAGUGCCGAUGCUGCAUGGAAAUAGAGCAAUGCCGUGG